rnacentral:rRNA from 1 species
UACGUAGGGUGCAAGCGUUAAUCGGAAUUACUGGGCGUAAAGCGUGCGCAGGCGGUUUUGUAAGUUUGUCGUGAAAUCCCCGGGCUCAACCUGGGAAUGGCGAUGAAGACUGCAAGGCUAGAAUCUGGCAGAGGGGGGGUAGAAUUCCACGUGUAGCAGUGAAAUGCGUAGAGAUGUGGAGGAACACCGGAUGGCGCAAGGCAGCCCCCUGGGUCAAGAUUGGACGC